rnacentral:tRNA from 1 species
AUUUACAUAAUAUAAAUAUUAUAUUUGACUUCCAAUCAAAAAAUCUAAUUACUUAGUGUAAAUA